CGCCGCUGGAUGCUGAUGAAAGAUGCCUUCUCAGGAUGCUCCAGCAUCAGCAAGAUAGAACAGGGUCUCCGUGUCCAGGUCUUCCUGUUAGAGAAGAAGGAGGGUACCUGUGGACUUCGCCUCUCUACCAACAGCAGCCACGCCCUGUACUCUCUGGAGGUGCAGCUUCUGCAGGUUCUCCCUGGCUUCAUCAGCAAUGACUCCACAAUGCUCAGCUUCAGCUGCACGUAUACCCUGGUGGUGAAUGUCAGCCAGACCCACCCCUACCAGAUAUAGCACCAUCCAUGUUCUGGGCACUGGGGACACCAUCAUCAUCUUGGGCAUCUUCACAGACCUUCAGCUCUUAACUCUGCUUGAAAACAGAACUGUUCCUCUUGGCAUGCCCUUCUACGUAGUCCUCAAGACAAUAAGCAGUGAUUUGCCCUGGUGGUCAGUGAGGUCUUUGCCAGCACCAACAUCUCCAGGACAGGUGCUGUUAAGGCCACCUACCACUUUGUGAACAAGAGGCAAGGGUCAGUCAGGCCUGGUAACCUCCUGUGAGUGCCAGACCAGCCCCUGGAUUUGGCUUGUGCUGUGUGCUUUUAUACCCUCGAGCACAGAUUCUGUCACUCUUCUUGGUAUCCCUGGCAUGCAAACACUGGAAGAAACUGCCCCGUCAGCAACCGGCUGC
rnacentral:lncRNA from 1 species